GGAGGAGUGGCCGAGCGGUUGAAGGCAACAGUCUUGAAAACUGUCAUACCCGAAAGGGUAUCGUGAGUUCGAAUCUCACCUCCUCCG
rnacentral:tRNA from 1 species